GACGGAACCUGUCCCGGGGCACAGCGCGACACCGCCCCCCCCUCCAUCCUCCUCACGCUGCCCGGUGUCUCCUGUGCUGCAGGUGGGCCCCGCCGCCCCCCGUCACCCUCCAGGAGCAGGUGAGCCACUGACUAACGCACAUUGUGCUCUCGGCGACUCCACUGUGCGUGUGACAGCGGCUAACCUGCUCCUCGGACAUCGCUGUGCGGCCGCCUCGCCUCGCCUCGCCUCCACGGACCCGCGCCUCGGCACCUUGACGCCCGCGUCCCCUCUCCGUCACCCCGCUGAGGGGCUCCGGCCUAGCAAAGGGGCCCGACCCCCGUCUAACGCCGCUGUCCUGCCUCCGGUGCCUUCCCCGGCUCGGCGGGCAGACCCCCGGUGCGCGGCGGGUCGCGAUCCGCAGCUUGGCUGCGCCGCGGAAGGAUGGAACGCUUCUUGCGGCGGGGCUCGGGGUGUCCAGCGGGAGCCGAGAGGAUGGGAGUGGGCCGCGGCGGUGUGCGGGCCGCCAGGAGUUGGUGGUAAAGUUGCUGCGGAGGGAUAGGGUGCCCCCCUCUCUCCUCCCCUGCUCUUCUCCAAAGUCAGUAAACGCUAGUGGACUCCGUACCAAGUUAAAGAGACGCUUCAUCCCAGCCAGUGACGUCUUGAUACCCGGUCAGUGACUAACUGAACUGCUAUUGCCAAGGGUGUGUUAACAGAAGAAACCAUGCCUGGUAUUGCCCCGGAUGAGUCACCUUUAAAGAGAGACUCUCUAGUCUGUCAAAGAAAGAGCAGAGACAAGCCUCUCUUUCCUUUUUCAUCGCUGUCUUGUUUCCCAUCCUGCUCCUCACAUUUGCUCACUGCUUUCCGCUUCUUGUGCCGGGGCUCUGUUGGCCCCCCAGCCCUGGCUGGGCGCUGGCGGAGCUGCUGUGCACAGUCGUGCUGUGAUGUCAUGCAGGGGACUCUGACUUCAUGGCCCCGAGGAGCAGGAAGGCAAGCCGGGCAGGGACUCCUCCAGCCACCCAGAGUGGCCAUCACUGCAAAUGGAGGAAGUGACGAAGCAGAUUGCUUCUACAAAGUUCUCUCUUGCGAUUUUUGUGGGGCUGGUGAAGAAGCUGGGUAGUUGGAAAGUGUCUUUUUUGAAGCGCAGCGUGGCUUUAUUGGCAGCUUAAGCUCAUAAUAACCAGCUAGGAUUCACUGCCUUCCCUGGAAGGGCUCAGGUACUCUCACUCAUGCUUGGGCUGCUUGUGUGUAGUCCUGGACCGUUGUAAAGGCUUGAUCUGAAAGAAUUGGCAGUGCUCUGGUCAGUAACUAGUUAAUUGCACGGAAGGCAGAGCAACGGUUAAAGUCUCUCACAGAGAAAUUUUGCUUGUCCCCAUGUCUCCUGCCCACACUCAUUUGUUGUUUCUCCCUCUGGGUCCCGGAGGAGCAUCUGCUCUUCCGCAAGAAAAACCAGCUCCCUCUGUGCCCCGUGCAGCCUGGGUGAGUCCAGGGUGCUCAAACAUGCUGGAAAGAGAGGAAAAAUGCCUUAGAUUACCAAAGCUGCUUUCACGCUUGUUCAGAAGCCAAAUGGGCCUUUUUUGAAGGCCGAGGGGGAAGAAGUUUGCAGCUUUCUCGGUCGCAGAAGGCUUUCCUCCUCCCUAGCUGCACCUACAGCAUCUUCCACUGCUGGGCCUGCGCAGGCAGGAGUGCAGUGGGGAGAGGGUGCUGCCUGGUGCCAAAUACACCUGUGUGUGACUGUGUAUGCGAGUUGAAACUGAAGUCCUGUAGUCCCCUGCCACCCCAUUUCACAGGAGAGCACGCGUGUGACAAAUCCCUAUCUGAAAAUGAAGGUGCUCUGUUUUUCUUUGAGGAAAUAGCCCCGUGCUUGGGACUGUGCUGCCCGACGACUCACCCCUGGAGAUGCCGCUGGCAGAAGCAGCUCCGCGGGUCGCCUGGCAAGACUUAUCCCCUGAGCAGCACUGGGGUAUGAACGCUUCCGACUUCCCGUUACCUACAGCACCAUCCUGUUCAGCUCCAGUAAGCAAAGGCAAGGGCUUGAAGUGAAGUUUGUUUGGUUUUGGGUUUUUUUUUUUUGGUGUCUCUCUCCAGUAAGCCAUGGGGGGAGCAUACAGCUCAAUUCCUGUUUUUAACAUUCCUGUGGCGUGAUUCAAAACUAACCUGCUGUGCUGUCACCUGAAGUCUUCAAUAAAUAGUACAACACCAGUGUUUGGGUGCUUAUUACUGUAAUCCAGGGCGCCAGACCAGCUGAAGAGGAAGGCUGUGCCUUCUCAGUGACGUCUCUGAUGUGCACUGUGUGCCCCGUGCCUCCCAUCUCUUAUUUUGCCUCUGUAGCCAGUGAAGGUGGCUUGAAAAGGAGAUCGGAAGGGUGCCACUGGGUUCUCCCUCAGGCAGAAACCCAGCAUUGGUGCCUUCACCCCUGCCUUAGCCCGAGCCCCAGAGUGCUCCCAAGCGAUGAGAAAACACACCAAGGCUAAGAUGCCCCUUGAUUUAAUGUUUUUCAGUAGCUAAUAAACAGAUUUGUAAGGUGAUACUUAGCCUGGUAACAAGAGUAGUCAGGUGCUAAAAGCUCUCGCUCAGAACUGAUGCUGUAAGAUUUCUGGGGAGAGGCAGGGGUGUGCUUACAGGAGGGGAAGAUGCUGAAUGUCAGGUCCGUUAAGCUGAAAGGACUCUCUGUGCUCCUCAAAGAUUUUGUUCUCUUGUUUCAGUACUUCACAGAGGGAAGUGAGCAGGCCUAAUGCUUCCAGCACCUUGCUCAGAAGUGCCUGUCGUGUUCUAUAAUGUGUGCCAGGGGCAGGUCCUACGUGGUGAGCCUCACUGAAGGAGCAAGCUGGCCUGUCAGGAAUAGGAGGAGUACAUAAAUUGUUUAAGAGGAAGUCAGUUAGUUAAAUGCAAGCAGGGACUUAUAUAAAAAAAAAAAAAAAAAAAAAAAAAAAGAAAAAAAGAAAGAUUUCUGCUGGCAGGAGGUUCCGUUGGGAGAGAAACUUGCUCAUCCAUAAACAAGAAAAUUUCCCGGCCUCCUCUAGUGCUUUAUGAUUUUUUUUUUUUUUUCCAGGGCAAGGUAGAUGCACUCAGCCUUUACCCUGAGACAGAGAAAGGAAAAUCAUCAGGGGGAGAGCAAAUAACGCUUCCUGCAUGGACACGCAUGCCAGUUUGAAUAGUUUCUCUUCUCCCUCUGCAGUGGACUGCCCUCGUAGGAGCUGUGCACCCAGGAGCAAGGCAGCAGAGCAUCUGUACACCACUUGGGGAGCAAAACCAACAGGCAUUUUCUCCUCCAGUCAUUCACACCUUUCCUUAUGUAACUGGUGCUGAAGCGUGUGCUUUGAAAGCUGCUUGCCAAAUCCAGGGGCUGGGAGGCAGCACAAAUGCUUCUAGCACUCUAGUUGAAAUUCAGGGGGGGAAAAAAAAAAAAAAAAGCAAGCCCAAACAAAACCCCCACCCUGAUUCAAAAAACGGAUAACUCUGAAAUUGCAUCUCCCCACUGCGACAACUUGUAUAACUGGAGGCACAGCUGCCUCGGUGCUCUCCCAGCAAAGCAAACUUUAAUUCUUCAGUAUCACUUGACCAACUUGCUGAGCUGCGGUGGCACCUCAAGAAUUGGCUUUGAGGGGGGCAUGUCCCGGGGUGCCAGAGCCCAGCAGAGCCUCAGGAGAGGUGCUGAUGGAGAGCAAGAGCCAAACUUCUUGCUUGCAGUUAUCCAGGUGCAGACGGAGGGGCCUGGAAGGUGAAGGGGAGGUUUCCCCCUUACCUGCUGCUAUCUGUAGCUGAGCACCAUCUCGUCACCUCCUGUCCUAAAAUGCUCUGAGCUGCUGCUGUGCAUUAUUAAAAUGCUGCCAUGUUUCAUCCCGGAGAUGGCUGCCCUCUCACCAGAGACAAGGUUCAUCUGCUGGUUGUAAAGCACUUUGCGAUUAAAAAAAAGAA